rnacentral:rRNA from 1 species
GUGGGGAAUAUUGGACAAUGGGCGAAAGCCUGAUCCAGCCAUGCCGCGUGUGUGAAGAAGGUCUUCGGAUUGUAAAGCACUUUAAGUUGGGAGGAAGGGUAGUAACCUAAUACGUUGCUACUUUGACGUUACCGACAGAAUAAGCACCGGCUAACUUCGUGCCAGCAGCCGCGGUAAUACGAAGGGUGCAAGCGUUAAUCGGAAUUACUGUGCGUAAAGCGCGCGUAGGUGGUUCAGUAAGUUGGAAGUGAAAUCCCCGGGCUCAACCUGGGAACUGCUUUCAAAACUGCUGAGCUAGAGUACGGUAGAGGGUGGUGGAAUUUCCUGUGUAGCGGUGAAAUGCGUAGAUAUAGGAAGGAACACCAGUGGCGAAGGCGACCACCUGGACUGAUACUGACACUGAGGUGCGAAAGCGUGGGGAGCAAACAGGAUUAGAAACCCUUGUAGUCC